GACGUAGGGGGCAAGCGUUGUCCGGAAUCAUUGGGCGUAAAGCGCUCGUAGGUGGAUCGGUAAGUCUGCAAAGAAAGACCCGGGCUCAACUCGGGGAACGGUGUGGAUACUACCGAUCUUGAGGCAAUCAGAGGAUGAUGGAAUUCCCGGUGGUAGCGGUGAAAAUGCGUAGAUAUCGGGAGGAACACCAGUGGCUAAGGCGAUCAUCUGGGGUGUUCUGACACUGAGGAGCGAAAGCUAGGGGAGCAAACGGG
rnacentral:rRNA from 1 species